UACAGAGGGUGCAAGCGUUAAUCGGAUUUACUGGGCGUAAAGCGUGCGUAGGUGGUUUGUUAAGUCAGGUGUGAAAUCCUGGGGCUCAACCUCAGAAUGGCGCUUGAUACUGGCGAACUCGAGUGUGGUAGAGGAUAGUGGAAUUCCCGGUGUAGCGGUGAAAUGCGUAGAUAUCGGGAGGAACAUCAGUGGCGAAGGCGGCUAUCUGGACCAACACUGACACUGAGGUACGAAAGCGUGGGUAGCAAACAGG
rnacentral:rRNA from 1 species